ACUCUGUAUGNCACCGGGAAAGAGGCGCUUUUAUUUAUUCUUAAAUUUAUAUCCUGGAUUCCCGGCCCCAGCGUGCUCGGAGGCAGGCGGCCAGAAGGCGAGAAGCUCAGCCCCGCGCCUGAGUGGCACCGGGACCGGGGAGGAGCCGACGACUCAGCCGGCUUGCCUUGCCUAGCCAGCGAGUUCAUUCCGCCGCGCUCCUCCUGAGCGGCUGGGGAGAGAGACGGCGAGGGGGAGGCGCGGGCAGGGAGCCUCGGCUGACAAAGGGCUGCGGACGGCUCCAAGCAAAACGGCUCGGACGGAGAAGACGGGGAGGAGGAGGCAGCCCGCGCUGCCUUCCCCGGGCGGGGCUUUUUCUCGGAGACUCGCGCAGUCCGUGGAGGAGCGCGAGCAGCUGAGGCUGAGGCUGCAGGGAGAGAGCUCCGCGAGGACGUCCGCCCAGAUGACGGCGCGGUGAAGAAGUGCGCGGAUUUUGUGCGCUGCUGCCCGGGCCGGCGGUUUUCAGCUGUGCUCGGUCGGGAGGACUCCGCCGGGGUUUGUUCCCUCUGACGCACCUCGGGCACCUUGUCUUGGCACUGGCACGGCACGGUGUGGCAGCUGCCUUCGCUGCCUGCCGGGGUUGGUUGGUUUGGUUAGAGGCAGCGAUAGGCUGGGUGUGAUCUGGACAACGAGACCUGUGUGACGACCUGACUGCUGUGAAAUGCUCGCCGGAGCGGCACCCGGACGUCCACUUGCUGCACCUUGAGCGGGAAACACGCAGAGGCCGAGGCGCCGUGCUGACUUGCCGCCUGCGAAUCUCUUCCCCGUAACAAGGUCCGUGCCAGGAAAGUGCAAAGAGUGUGAAUUGACACUUCAGGAUUAUCCUCGAUAGGAAGUUUCUCAGGCUGCGCUUUGAACGCCUCGGGCUGCGGAGAAAACNGCUGGUGAGGCUUCCCAAGGCUUCUGAUUGAGCUUCUCCGCUCCUGAGCCAAUUUAAGUAGGAGACAGGAAUCUCCCUCAGGCAGCAAAGAGACCCUUUGACUGCCCUUCNCCAAGCCCCGUUCCAGCUGGUAAGGAUCGUUUCUCCUCUCACAACUUGCCUUUUGGAGAACGAAGGGAAAGACGGUGAGGUUCCAGCCGGCAGUUCGCCGUGUGCCUCUGAAGUCGCUCCUUGCCUGGUCGAGAGGCUUUUCGUU
rnacentral:lncRNA from 1 species